rnacentral:rRNA from 1 species
GCCUAAUACAUGCAAGUCGAACGGUCUUUCUAUGGAAGCUUGCUUCCACUGAGAAGAUAGUGGCGAACGGGGUGAGUAACACGUGGGUAACCUGCCCAUAAGAGGGGGGAUAACAUCCGGAAACGGGUGCUAAUACCGCAUAGUUUUCUUGAUCGCAUGAUUGAGAAAGGAAAGACGGCCUUUGUGCUGUCGCUUAUGGAUGGACCCGCGGCGUAUUAGUUAGUUGGUGAGGUAACGGCUCACCAAGACGAUGAUACGUAGCCGACCUGAGAGGGUGAUCGGCCACAUUGGGACUGAGACACGGCCCAAACUCCUACGGGAGGCAGCAGUAGGGAAUCUUCCGCAAUGGACGAAAGUCUGACGGAGCAACGCCGCGUGAGUGAAGAAAGGUUUUCGGACCGUAAAACUCUGUUGUCAGAGAAGAACAAGUUGGAGAGUAACUGCUCCAGCCUUGACGGUAUCUGACCAGAAAGCCACGGCUAACUACGUGCCAGCAGCGGC